CCAGCUCUACCCGUGAUGGACCCAGGCUACUUCAAGAGAUACAAAAGACUUAAUCUAUCUACUUUUACAAGGGCAUUUACAUUUGAAAAAGCUGAAUACAGGUUAGUAGAGACAAUGAAGACCUUCACAACUCUUGGAGUAGUUCCCAAAUAAAAGGUCAUUCUUGCCACUUACAUGCUCGUAGGUGAGGCAAAGCAUUGGUGGUAACUGAAGUAAGCCACACUACUCACUCCAGUCACCUGGGAAUAGUUCCUGACAGCUUUUAAUGCUGAGUACCUUCCAGAACACCUCCAACAUUUGAAAUAGAUAGAGUUUACACACCUGGUUCAAGGGAUCUGUCA
rnacentral:lncRNA from 1 species